UACGUAGGGUGCGAGCGUUGUCCGGAAUUAUUGGGCGUAAAGAGCUCGUAGGCGGUUUGUCACGUCUGCUGUGAAAUCCCGAGGCUCAACCUCGGGCCUGCAGUGGGUACGGGCAGACUGGAGUGCGGUAGGGGAGAUUGGAAUUCCUGGUGUAGCGGUGGAAUGCGCAGAUAUCAGGAGGAACACCGAUGGCGAAGGCAGAUCUCUGGGCCGUAACUGACGCUGAGGAGCGAAAGCGUGGGGAGCGAACAGGAUUAGAAACCCCCGUAGUCC
rnacentral:rRNA from 1 species